UCCCUACCGUAUGCUUCAGUUCUUGUUUC
rnacentral:piRNA from 1 species